UGAGAUGGGAUCAGUCUAAACGCGUUGAACGCUUUUUUACCGUCAAAUCGCCGUGUCUUCGAUCUGCACCUUUCUUAAAAACUUUUGAUUUAUUUACGACGUUAAAGAGCUGUUUGAGUCUUUAAGAGUACAAACAAAGAAUUUGAAAUUAACGGGGAACCGAAACACUCUCUCUCUUCUGUUAGAGAGAGAAAACUCUCUCGAUCUCAAUCUCCUUUCAAAUCAUAAAUCCAAAGAUUAGAGAUGAGAUGAGUUUGGUUCUGUGAUCGGUUUUUCCUUCCGGAAACGAUGGCUCCUUCAGUGUCGUUUGCCGGCUUCUGACUCCGACGUCGUCUCUUAUCCUUUGGUGUCGACGGCUGGCUCCGUGCCGGUUUCAUCCGGCGUUUAUAUUUUUGGAAAAGAACGGUGAAGAAGGAAGACAUGGUUGUGGCUUUAAAGCCGUCGGUGGUGGUUUAACUGGCUCUGGAUGAGAUCUCGGGACAGUCUCGAUCGAUCUCUCCAUUACAAAGAGUGUAGGCGACGAAGGUGGGCGCGGUGGUUCUGGUUCCGGUGUUAUCCGGUGAAACACGUGUCCAUUUUUUGUCUCCUCCGAUGUGAGCCUCGUAGAUUGGGUUACGAUGUGGUGUUUGGAUGACGCGUGUCUCGUUCAUGGGUGAGUUUCGACACGUGGGUGGCCUCGCGAAUUUCUGGACGCGUGGGAUUGUGAGGCACCGCAUGGUCUGUGGUUUGGGCUUAAGGUCCAUGUUAAGUUUGCCUUUUGUUCUGGGCUUUUAGUUUUAUGUUUAAUGUUUCUUGGGUUGUUUGGGCUUGACCCAUUAAUAAAAUAAUAAUAGAUGGAAAAAAAAAAGUACAAACAAAGACGUCAAAGAACUCAGAACUGUUCUGGUUUCUGGUUUAUUUGCCGGUUUUUGACAUUUCUUCUUUGAUUAUUCUGCUUAUUGGGCCAUUUUUAUAAAAAUAUAGACACAUGGGUUUUGAUUGAGCUUUUAGUUUUUAUUAGUUUGUUGGGCUCUCAUCUUAUUUUUCUGCUUUUCGUCUCUUUUGUGUAUUUUUAAAUCCAAAAACCCCUUUGAAAACAUU
rnacentral:lncRNA from 1 species